rnacentral:tRNA from 3 species
GGAUGGUUAGCUCAGUUGGUAGAGCAUCGGUUUUACACACCGAGGGUCGGGAGUUCGAGCCUCUCACCAUCCACCA